UCGGGCUGUGCCGCCUGGCGAGCGCCCCGGCCGCCGGCUCCGUGUCCGUGACGCGCAGGAUCUGAGCCAAGCAAGSCUUGGACUGGAAAUCUCCCAUUAACUC